AAGAGCCGUAUGAGAGGAGACUUUCACGUACGGUUCUGUGAGAGGUUUGGGGUGCGAUUCCCCUUACCUACUCGAU
rfam:Sphingobacteriales bacterium 44-61 SCNpilot_expt_1000_bf_scaffold_77, whole genome shotgun sequence.